rnacentral:rRNA from 1 species
GACGAACGCUGGCGGCGUGCUUAACACAUGCAAGUCGAGCGGUAAGGCCCUUUCGGGGUACGACGAGCGGCGAACGGGUGAGUAACACGUGGGUGACCUGCCUCUAGCUCUGGGAGUAAGCCUGGGAAGGCUGGGUCGUAAUACCGGAUAUGACCUCGCGGUGCAUGUUGCGGGGUGGAAAGCCUUGUGCGGCUAGGGAUGGGCCCGCGGCCUAUCAGCUUGUUGGUGGGGUGANGGCCUACCAAGGCGACGACGGGUAGCCGG